UGAGUACGAGCGGCUACGGCCGCGAAGUGGAUGAUGUCAAGCUUCCAAGAAAAGCCCUAUACCCGUUAAGGCAUGAUGGCCUGUACCCGAAACCGACACAGGUGGGGUGGUAGAGAAUACCGAGGGGCGCGAGGUAACUCUCUCUAAGGAACUCGGCAAAAUGGCCCCGUAACUUCGGGAGAAGGGGUGCCACCGCGAGGUGGUCGCAGUGAAGAGGCCCAGGCGACUGUUUACCAAAAACACAGGUCUCCGCUAAGUCGCAAGACGAUGUAUGGGGGCUGACGCCUGCCCAGUGCCGGAAGGUUAAGGAAGCUGGUCAGCGCAAGCGAAGCUGGCGACUGAAGCCCCGGUGAACGGCGGCCGUAACAAUAACGGUCCUAAGGUAGCGAAAUUCCUUGUCGGGUAAGUUCCGACCCGCACGAAAGGCGUAACGAUCUGGGCGCUGUCUCGGAGAGAGGCUCGGCGAAAUAGAAUUGUCUGUGAAGAUGCGGACUACGUGCACCCGGACAGAAAGACCCUAUGAAGCUUUACUGUAGCUUGGUAUUGUGCUCGGGCUCGGAAUGCGCAGGAUAGGUGGGAGGCUUUGAUCCAUUGCUUGCGGGUGAUGGUGAGCCACUGGUGAGAUACCACUCUUUCCGAGCUAGAGUUCUAACAGCAACCCGUUAUCCGGGUGCUGGACAGUAUCAGGUGGGCAGUUUGACUGGGGCGGUCGCCUCCUAAAAGGUAACGGAGGCGCGCAAAGGUCUGCUCAGGCUGGUUGGAAAUCAGCCGACGAGUGUAAAAGCAGAAGCAGGCUUGACUGUGAGACCUACAAGUCGAACAGGGAGGAAACUCGGCUUUAGUGAUCCGACGGUUCUGCGUGGAAGGGCCGUCGCUCAACGGAUAAAAGUUACUCUAAGGAUAACAGGCUGAUCUCCCCCAAGAGUUCACAUCGACGGGGAGGUUUGGCACCUCGAUGUCGGCUCAUCGCAACCUGGGCUGAAGUCGGUCCCAAGGGUUGGGCUGUUCGCCCAUUAAAGCGGUACGCGAGCUGGGUUCAGAACGUCGUGAGACAGUUCGGUCCAUAUCCGGUGCACGCGCAGGAAUAUUGAGAGGAUUUCUCCCUAGUACGAGAGGACCGGGAGGAACGCACCUCUGGUGUGCCAGUUAUCGUGCCAACGGUAAACGCUGGGUAGCCAUGUGCGGAGUGGAUAACCGCUGAAAGCAUCUAAGUGGGAAGCCCACCUCAAGAUGAGUAUUCCCAUGGCAUAAGCCAGUAAGGUCACGGGAAGAACACCCGUUGAUAGGCUCUACGUGGAAGCGCAGUAAUGUGUGAAGCGGAGGAGUACUAAUAGACCGAGGGCUUGACC
rnacentral:rRNA from 1 species